rnacentral:misc_RNA from 1 species
AGUCGCACCCCACCAUUUUUUCGAGCAGCAACUCACUUCAUCCUUCAUAGUGUCGUUUUAUCAUCUCCAUCGAUGAAUGCAGAGCAAGCAGCACGACAUAACCGAACACCAUGCGGAGACACUACGGCGAAAGGAAGAUGUCUUUGCUAGACUCUCGCGACGGCGCCCGACAUCACUGAGCUCGCCCGCGUUUGAGGCUGUAGUGACACGUCUACAAGACGAGGAGGCUCAGUGCACCUUUCUGCCUCGCGUGAACCACACGUACGAUGCCGCACUGAUGCGCUGGGCCGCCGACUCGGACGUCUUCACUCGUCUCUCUGGUCACGCGAAGUGUCAGCGGCAGCAGCGGGAAAAUGCGGCAGAGCUGAAGCGGAGGGCCGACGCCGCAGAAGUGGACGAGUGGCACGCCAAGUUUCGAACAAUGCCUUUCCCGAGACACCUGUACGCCCACGCUCGCUCCCAUAAUCGUCACACCACGGCCUCGGCUACGGACCGCAUCGCAGCGCAUGGUGUUUCGCUACAGGCAUCCACGGCAAAGAAGGGCACGCACAUCAUCUCCGCAUUGCACAGUGGCAGACGACUUGCAGACGGUGCAGGCGCAUGCAGAAGGACACUCUCGGAGGACUGCAUUCCGCCCGCCGCAUGCCAAGGGACGGCUCCUCUGACUCUCGCGCGGGCGGAAGUGUGGCUUUCCCGCAUGCGCACCGCCCAUCUGUCACAUGCGCAUCCCCGCAGUGUGCAAGAGGCGCGGCGUGAACACAGCGAGGCUGUGUGCGAGUGGCCGAAGGAGUCCUAGCGUCUUCUCUCCCUCUUCAUCUUUGACUGUGCUUAACCGCUGCUGCGAGAGGGCUUCAGUGCUCGAUGCGGCGCAUGCCACGGGCACGUGCAGCGGUGUAACAGAUACCCACUAGACAGUAAUCUAGACUGCUGUGUGCUUCUCUUCUUGUUGCGUGAUUCGGGUGGCAAACCCUUAGCUGCGGCGGUGCCGCUCAUCGGCGCACACAUUCCCACGGGCGCGGAAAGCGGAGCGAACAGCUGUCUACGGCUGACGACAACUGGUGUCUCUGCUCUCCGUGCACGAAAAGAGUCCCAGACAAAACGAGGCAAAGAAAAUACGUAGGCCAUCAUGUGUGCUGCUAUGCAGCCUUCGUGGACUAUCCGCUUGAAACAUCGCCCUACUGCGCAUCUCAUCCAUGCCUUGUUGUUCCAACUUCGCGCCUGUGUCGUGGCUCGUUUUUUUUUUUUUGCAUCUUGCCCCCCCCCCCCCCCCCCCCCAUGACGAUGCAGGGUCAUCUCACCGCGGUAUCAGUGCCACCGUACCCACUCUUUGUGUGAAUGCCAAGAGCCUGCACCGCCUGCCCUCGGGUACGGUUGCGGACUCUUGGUGCUGCCGGACAGGUCUGGGCUGCUGCGGUGCCGAAGGGACGUGCGGCCAUAAUGACCACGCUUGUAGGAGCUCACUAGGCAUCAUGUCGACGAUUCAACAGAGCUACGCAUCCACCUCCUCUUUUUAUGCCUUUGCUGCAUUGCGCGGAUGCUGAGCGUCAUUCUGGACCGAUCCUUCGCUGUACGCAGUAUAAUUG